GUUCCCGUAGUGUAGUGGUUAUCACAUCCGCUUAACACGCGGAAGGUCCCAGGUUCGAGCCCUGGCGGGAACA
rnacentral:tRNA from 1 species